rnacentral:pre_miRNA from 3 species
UUUUAUGGAUGAGCAAAGAAAGUGGUUUCUUUUGAUGGAAUCCACUCCUGGUGAAGAUGCUGUGAA